rnacentral:rRNA from 1 species
UACGUAGGUGGCGAGCGUUGUCCGGAUUUACUGGGCGUAAAGGGAGCGUAGGCGGACUUUUAAGUGAGAUAUGAAAUACUCGGGCUCAACUUGAGUGCUGCAUUUCAAACUGGAAGUCUAGAGUGCAGGAGAGGAGAAUGGGAUUCCUAGUGUAGCGGUGAAAUGCGUAGAGAUUAGGAAGAACACCAGUGGCGAAGGCGAUUCUCUGGACUGUAACUGACGCUGAGGCUCGAAAGCGUGGGGAGCAAACAGG